GAAAUGGAGUCUCACUCUGUCACCCAGGCUGGAGUGCAAGUGGCACAAUCUUGGGUCACUGCAGCCUCUGCCUCCCCAGUUCAAGCGAUUCUCCUGCCUCAGCCUCCUGAGUAGCUAGGACUACAGGCACAUGCUACCACACCCGGCUAAUCUUUGUAUUUUUAGUAGAGAUGGGGUUUCACCAUGUUGCUGGUCUCAAACUCCUGACCUCAAGUGACCUGCCCGCCUCAGCCUCCCAAAGUGCUGAGAUUACAGGCAUGAGCCACCGCGCCUGCCCUCUAGCUAUGCUUUAAGAUAGGCCUAUCAGCCCAGACUGGAGUCAUGUAAUACAUGGCUCUGUCAGUAGCUCUCCUUCCCACAAAUAAGUCUUGAUGAUCUUACACUCAUCCCUGCCAUUAGCAUUCAGGACCAAUCUUCUAUAGCCUAUAUGCCACACUGGUCUAGGACAGCACCUAAAUAAUACUCAUGCUAUAAAAAUUCAUCAAGUUAUAUAUUUUUAAAAACAUCCCUAAAAUUAUCUUUUUCCUUUACUGAAAAGAAUUUCAGGAUCCCCUCUCUCUCACUGCCUCUCUUCACACACACCUACCUUAGUUGGUCACCUAUUUUGUAAACAUAUCUUCUUUAAAAAAAGAAAGAAAUGGCAGUAUAUGAAAAACUGCUUCGUAAACAGAAACUAUAUUAUUUAUAUUUGUAGCAUUUUUUCCCCUUGAGGUUAAUUUCCUUUGCUUCCCAUAACUGGAAGCCAAUGAUUCAGUGCCAUUAUAUAAGCUUAUUUUCCCUCUUGGAAAUAGUAAAUUAUAAGAGGUUUGACCCAAAAAUGUACAUCAAAAUUAGGCAGUAUUCGGUGUUUAGCCUCCAUCUGCCUUGUCUUCUUGUCUUUAGUUGUGCAAGUAGAUGCUGAUGAUUUCUGGCAGAGCUAAAGUAAAUCAUGUGAAUUUAUUUUUUUUUCUCAUAAAACAGAUGGCAUGGUCUAGCUCUGGGCUUGUAUGUUUCAUGAAGUACAUGGGUCUGAGUGCAUAUUUAUUUUGUGAGCCAAGGUUUAUGCCUUCUUCUAUAAUUUUCUUUCACUGAAAAUUACCUGGAGAGCUAGAAACUCCGUUUUUGUCAGUGUAAGAAGCUUUAGAAUCUAUAUCCAGACCAAGGCCAUGGAACAAUGUAGAUUCACUCAGUAAAAACUCACUAGCGGCCUUCUUUGUACUAGUCUGUCACCUUUGCUUGGCUUUGGGAAGCUUCAAACUAGGGCAGUUUAUAUUUGGGAAUGACCAGUCAAAUAGCAAGACAGACAUAGGCAAGGAUGUAAUUUUUAAAAAUUUAAGUGGCGAAUGGUGAAGCGUGAAUCAAAACAGAAGGUAGUCUUACCUUCUGGGAACUGUAAAAUAAAUACAUUUGAAAAAGGCACCCUCUCAACCUUCUGAGAGUCAGAAUUUUUGCUGCCACCCCUCAUUUUGAAUCUCUAUUCUGCAUUUUUUAUUCUUUUUUUUAGGAAGGAGGAAGAAAAAUUUCUCCUGAAGAAUUCAUUGGAAAUUAAAAUUAACUUGCGCAUUUUGUAUUCUUUGGAAUGUGAUGAAGACUGAUUUGAAAGGGCAGUGCUGGAUUUGGUCAGGCAUAGGAAAGGAAGACAUGCAGUCGUCCUGCCUAGCUCAUCCCCGCCACGAUGGAGAAGUGGGGUUGCUUUUGUUGUACUUUUUUUCAUUUCUUUUCUUGCCAAGCCCAGUGGCUUCUGUUAUAACAUGUGGCAGCUUCUCCCUUGGAGACUGAUUCAGUCCAAGUUACCAUAAUAUUUAGGACCAGCUACAGAGACGUUUCUUCCCCUAAACCCAUGCCAAAUCUAAAUCAAACUAUCUUCUUCUCCUUAGCCGUUCAAAUAGCUCCAGCUCUUAUAUAAAAAUACGAGAAAUACACAGGCCUCUUUUUUAUUCCUGUUCAAACAGAUAAACAAACAAGGCACAUCAUGCCCAGGUUGCUUUGAGCUUGAUCACUUCCUCCUAAAGCAGUCUUACGCUGUGUUGAUUUUAAGAAUUGCAACUUAGGUGUUCUAGAACAUAUUCUGAGAGCAUAGUCAUAGUCUGUGAUCUCAGAAUAUGUUUGCUUCCUUCUAGAACAUCUGAGUUCCAGAAAUUGCAUACAAUAAACUGCUGUCAGUGCUGCUGGAGGAAGGAAGAGUAACUCUGACAUCACUGGCCUUCAACAGGUGUGGCGCUGAGCUUCUGGGCCUCAGAAGCCCUGACUUCUAGAGGCUGGGGGCCAGCGGGGCAGGGAGGUGAUCUCAUCGUGGAUGGCCACAGAUCAUCCACCUGCCAAACAGUUAACCCUGAACAAGUCACGUCAAUUUAUUUUGCUUUUAAAAAAGAAAGUCUGCAAAAUAGAGGGAAAAAAAAGAUUCUUCAUAAAUAAAUUUGUUCUGAUCUGUAAAUACCCUGGUCAUUUCCCCCUUGGCAUUUGAUACACAUAGUACAGACAUAUUUUAGUCAUCCUUGCUCAAGUAAUUAUAUUCCAUAACCAACUUUAUUAGCAUAAAUUAACUUCCUCAUAUUUUUAGCAAGAGUUAUUUUCCUUCAUUGCUUAGCUUAUUGUUUUGAAAUAUGAAUUACUUUCAGCACAGUUCAUUUUUGUGGAUGGCAUUUCUGUCUUUUUAAUUUGUAAUUAUUUGAUAUAUACAAAAGAUGGUAUGUAACAUACAAGUAAACUCUAAAGCACAAUUUUAAAGGUGCUCCAGUGAACCACCAUCCAACUUAAGAAUUGGCUCAUUACAAAUACUUGGAGAUCUCGCUAAGCAUCUUAUUCCUAGCAUUUUCCUGCUUUCCCACUAUUCUGAAAUUUGUAUUUAUAAUUAUCCUGAUUUUUAAACAAACAUAUAUAUUUUUAUCACAGUGUAAUGAGUAAAUGUGUGUUGCUAAAGGUAUUUUGAGACAUAUAAAAAUAGUAUCGGACUUUGCAUGGUCUUUUUGGAACUUGAGAUUUUCCUCCAUAUAUUUGCAAAAUUCAUCCAUGUUUUCAGGAAUAGCUACAGUUCCUUCAUAUUGCCAGAAUAUUCUAGUGUGUGAAUAUAUCAUAAUUUAUCCACUAUCUUGUUUAUUGAGGGGGGGUGGGAAACAAGGAGCUCUUUUUUUAGACAUGUUGAGUCUGAGAUCUCUAUUAGAAAUCCACUGGAAAUGAGCAGGCAGGUGGAUGCUGUUAUUCAGGAGAGAUGUCUGAGAUGGAACUAACAGCGUGUAGAUGGCAUCUAAAGCAUUGUCUUCCCAACUGUUCUUAGAAUGAUGGGCCAUUUAGCCCAUCAACUGAGAUUUUUGUGUUAACAGUUUUUUGUUUUUUAAUUUCUUAAAGGUCUAUCUGGUGUUUUUUGUUUGUUUGCUUUUUCCCAAAUCUGCCUGGUCACUUUGUUCAAGUGUGACUUGUAAGGGAGUAAACAAGGAGAGUAUGAGCUUCAAAGAAAAUGGGGGGAAGUAUUUUGCCAGCUCUCAUGGAGUUUUGUGAGAUCCAAAUGAAAUGCAUUAUAUGUAAAUUUGCUCUGUAAACUGAAAAAAGUUAUGCACUCAAUUAUUAUAUUUGAUGAUGACACCUUGUUGGGUUCUGGUUAAUGCCUCAUAUUCACUGAGUGCUUACUUUAUCUGUAUUAACACAUCUCAUCUUUAUAACAAUCUGUGAGAAGUAGGUACUGUAGAUUCAUAUUUUACAGAGGAAAGUACAGCUUAUAAAUGGUAGACCCAGGAUUUGAAUUCAUAGAGUCUGCUUCUAGAAGCUGUGUUCUUAGCUCCAAUGCUAUGCUGUCAUAUUGAUUUCCUGCCUGCCUUCUCCUUCCUUCCUUCUCCCCUCCCUCCCUUCCUUCCUUCCUCCCUUCCUUUCCUUUUUUUUUUUUUUUUUUUUUUUUUUUUGAGACGGGGUCUCACUCUGUCACCCAGGCUGGGGUGCAGUGGCAUGACAAUAGCUCACUGUAGCCUUGACCUCCUGGGCUCAAGUGAUCCUCCUGCCUCAACUUCCUGAGUAGCUGGGACUACAGGCACAUCCCACCAUGCCUGGCUAAUUUUUAAAUGUUUUGUAGAGAUGUGGUCUCCCUAUGUUACCCAGGCUAGUCUCAAACUCCUGGACUCAAGUGAUCCUCCCACCUUGGCCUCCCAAAGUGCUGAGAUUACAGGUGUGAGCCACCACACCUGGCCAUACUGUCCUUCUUUAAAUGACAGGUUUCUUCCCACUCCUUCAGCUUCAAGAGUACAAACAUUUUAGGGUCACAUUUCAGCAUGUCCACCUUGAACCCAGCUACAAAAAUCCUACCCCAGGCAGUGGGCCCCCAGCAAAGGGCUGUGUGUGCUGACCUAGUUUCACCACCGAACCCAGCCCCAGACCUCACAGGGCACUGCUCACCUGCCAGGUGCCCACUCUGUGCUUGUUGAAAAUGGUGUCUUCUUGAUUUCACUUAUUUGCCUGAAGCCACCCAAUAAGUCAGUAGUGGGCCAGAGAAUAGAAACCAAGUCUCCUGCCUUUCAAGUGUCACAUUUGUUUUGUGUUAAUAAGCUAUAUACCUCAAGGGGAUCUGGCAGAAAUUUGAAGGUGGUUAAUUUUACUGCAAUAAAUACUUAAGAAUCCUUUUUAAAGCAAAGAAGUCAAGCCCCCGCCAGGGAAAACACAAUCUGCUCUGAGGGCCUUUGACAAACUGACAUGGGCACUAGGACUAGGUCAUGGAUCAUUGGUCCUUGAUUCUGUCUCCCACUGAGCAUCCCAAAGGGGUUGAGACCUCUGCUGGAGCCACUAGACUUCAGCCGGACCUGGAAAUGUUCUCGCAAAUGAAACUGGAAUGCAUGAUGUCCUGGAUUCAGCGGGUCACAGAUGACUGCCAUCAGGAGGUGUGACGGAGAAGUUUCCAUUUCUGCGACCCUGUGGUGAUACAGGUCGGGAGCCAGGCGAAUUAGCUCAGCCAUCUGAAUUGGCACCUCUCUGCUUUUCUCGCUGAGUGACGGGUGCCUUGCAGUUGGCUUCAGAUGUUUGUGAAUGUGCUGUGUUUCCUAAAGCCAUGUCAGUCAGGAAGAAGAUGUAGGUAUUCAGGAGGGAGAAGAAAAUCUGAAUUAGAAACAACAUGAGGAUGGAGAGCACAGGGAGGGAUGGGUUACCUUUGUCAUCAGAAGAACGCCAGGCAGACUUUAGUCCCUCAGCUAAUAAUACUAUUUGAAAAAUUGAUGGAGAAAUUUAACUGGAAGGUUUCAGCAAGACAAAAGCUGCAUCUCCAAGGCUGGACUCAGCGUGUUCAGGUGGGAACUGGGUGUGAGUGUAAUUGUCAGAGGGGAGGGUUGUCACAGGAGGUGCAUGAUAUGAAGAGUCACAAGGGGACGCAUUAUUUCCAUGAGUUCUCGCAGUUGCCAGGGCAGCCACAGAUGGUAGUGGUAUAUGUCUGUCUCUGCCUUGACAGAAGGGCAGUAGGCAGUUGUGGCAAGAAAAACGGACCAAAUGAGGGCUGCACUCAGCAGGUUAAAUUUGCUGUCUGUUAGUGUUCCUAGGUGAGAUGCUUCAAAACUAGAAUGCUCUGCUGGGACUUUUAUUUCCCUUAGAAAUAAAAGGCCAGGCACGGUGGCUCAUGCCUAUAAUCCCAGCACUUUGGGAGGCCAAGUCGGGCAGAUCGCCUGAGGUCAGGAGUUCGAGACCAGCCUGGCCAACAUGGCAAAACCCCAUCUACUAAAAAUACAAAAAUUAGCCGGGUAUGGUGGUGGUGGGCGCCUGUAAUCCCAGCUACUUGAGAGGCUGAGGCAGGAGAAUCACUUAAACCUGGGAGAUGGAGGUUGCAGUGAGCUGAGAUCGUGCCCCACUGUACUCCAGCCUGGGCAACAGAGUGAGACUCCAUCUCCCAAAAAAAAAAAAAAAAGGUUCUUUGUUCACACUUUCUCUGUGCUGCUGCAAGUGACUUCGGUGCCGUUUCCUGCAGCCUGUGUCGGUGGCUGGGACUUUCUUGACAGCAAGGCAGGCCCUGUGCAUGAGGCCUAUAGGAUCCAGGGCUGCCUCCCAAUGCUGACGGCCCUGCGCUGUGAGCUUGGGUAAGCCAGUUCGGCUCACUUCACCUCAGGUUCCUUGUUCCUGUGCUCGUUUGGAGGAUUAAUAAUGAUGGGGAAUGCAAAGUGUGGUUGGUUUUGCUGGGGAAAAGAGCAGGGAAGUGGAGACCUAGGCAGGUGAUGUCACCUCUCUGAUGAACUCCAAGGUCUCUGUCAACACCGGUGCCCUUGUCCUGACAUUGCGGGGUUUGUGGCAUGAUUGGAGAGACCUUGCGUGCUCUCUGGGCAGCCCUCGUUAGUGCCCCCCAACUAGCUGGGAGAUCCAGAGUUUCAUGAGAACCCUCCCUCCGUGACAAAAUCCGCCUUCCUCGCUGUCAGGCUCAGGUUGUCCUGUGCCCCCACUGAGCCUGCUCAUUAUUGAUUAAUGAACUUGUAAAAUGAGAAGUAUUGUUUUACCAGAAGCUACAUGUUUAUGUGGUUGGUAAAAAUGAGAAGAGUUGCUUGAGAACUGGUUCUCCUUUCCAUGAGUAUAUACAAGGUUCAAAUCUGGGCUUUGUGGUUAUAAGACAUGUUGAGUGAAUAAAAAUGAAGGAAAUGCUGGGCAUUUAUCACAAUUUUUUUUUUUUUUUUUUUUUUUUUUUUUGAGACAGGGUCUUACUCUGUCACCCAGGCUGGAGUACAGUGGCACGAUCUCGGCUCACUGCAGUCUCCACCUCCCAGGUUCAAGUGAUUCUCAUGCCUCAGCCUUCCGAGUAGCCGGGAUCACAGGCGUGGGUCACCACACCCGGCUAAUUUUUGUAUUUUUUGUAGAGACAAGCUUUCGCCACGUUGGUCAGGCUGGUCUCGAACUCCUGGCCUCAAGUGAUCCAUCCGCCUUGGCCUCCCAAAGUGCUAGGCUUACAGGCAUGAGCUGCUGCGCCUGGCCUUUCACAAUUCUUAAACUGUUGACUUACAGAAACACAGACCCGUAUGAACACACAGAUCACUUUAGACGUCCGUCUCAGAACUACUUGCUGUCAUGAGUGAUGUACAGAUAAAACGUGGAAGAUCUAGAAACUAGUCAUUCCUAAUCUCUGCCAUAAGCAAACAUUUUAGUUUAAUGUUAAAAGGUCACUCAGGGUUAUUGUGAGAUUUGAUGAGAUCAUGGCUACAAGGAACCUUUAACUGUAUGAAUGAAAAAUCUAAUGAAACUGCAAAGUCACUCCUAUUUACUAAAACCAGUGUAGUGGCUGUUUCUGCCUCUUUUCUUUCCCUCCUCCCUUCCCUUUUCUUCUCUGUUCUUUCUGUCACUUUCCUCUCCCUCCUACCUUAUUUUUUUUCUUCCUUUCCUUCUCCUUCCUCUCUUUCUGGCAUUAGCAGUUUGUUUGUUUGUUUGUUUGUUUUUGUUUAUUUUGAGACCAAAUCUCGCUCUGUUGCCCAGGCUGGAGUACAGUAGCGCAAUCUCGGUUCACUGCAACCUCCACCUCCCGGGUUCAAGCCAUUCUCCUGCCUCAGCCUCCCGAGUAGCUGGGAUUACAGACGCCCGCCACCACACCCAGCUAAUUUUUGUAUUUUUAGUAGAGAUGGGGUUUCACCAUGUUGGCCAGGCUGGUCUCAAACUCCUGACCUCAGGUGAUCUGCCCACCUCAGCCUCCCAAAGUGCUGGGAUUACAGGUGUGAGCCCCCACACCCGGCCCUGGCAUUAGCAGUUCUUACACAAGAACAGCAUAGGCAUGAAUCCUGCCCUCAUGGCACUUACACACUAGCAGAGGAAUCUGGCAGCAAAUAAGCACACAAAGGCAGCUGCAGGGUAUGAUGUGCCGUGACGUAAAGGGACAAACACCGUGAGUCUAACUAAAGCCUGGCAUGUGUCAAUCCUGUGUACCUAUUCAGAAACUAGGGUUCAUGACGGUGCUUCUGUUGUUACCUAUUAGAAGUAGCUUUGUAAGCAUAAAGAUUGUAGUUUUGUGAAGCUAUCUAGUACAGAGUCACUCUGGAAGGUUAGCAUUAUAGAGUUUUUUUCAUAGAAAGGAUGGAUAGACAGAAGUUUUUCCUAACAAGCACAAGUGGCAGUCUUUGAAAACUAAUUUUUUAUGUGUACAUUGUAGGAUUGGAAGAUAACAGUGGUUGAGUGUGAUAAACUGAAACUUUUUAAAAAAUCUAUUUUUUUUUUACAAGUUAGAGCCAGAUAUGCUGAUUCUCUACCAUUUUCAAAAGAGGAAUUGGAAAAGGGAGAGCUUGUUUAUGUGGUAUUCACAAUAGCGUCUGCUCCUGAAGAAAAUUUUUGGAAAAAUCUCGAGUGUCCUCAGACUGAAAACAGGGAUCCAGUCUGUUGUUCGUGCAGCACUCAGGAGGCGAGCGAGCAUGUGAUACCAGGAAGGGUCCCAUCCCUGCCCUGCUGGGGAGCCCUCAGUGGCGAAGUGGCGAGUUCAGGCUUCAUUUCAGAGCAUGGAUACUGCUGCAUAGGUGCUGGAAGCUGCUUGGCAUAGUGCAUGUCCUGUUUCCUGCCACUUGGAAAGAGGACUGUGGAAGUCAGGUCUUCCCAGUCCUCACCAGUAAAGCAAGCAACGAAUGCCUUCAGUCCAGGUAAUAUGUCCAGGCUUUAAAUUCUCUGGAUCUGUCUUUGGAUACCCUGGGAAAAGUCUUGUCUCUUCUUAGGCCCUUCUGACUAAAAGCAGCCAGGACUUUUAAACUGACUAAUUUUUAAAGAUUUCCAAAUAGAGAAAAUUAAAGCAAAAAUUUAUGAAAGCUGAAAAUGAUCUUUCCAACUUUUCUCAUUCAGAGUAGAACACUGGAGCAUUGAAAGUUUGUUCAUGUUUGUGAUUGAUCACAUAUUUAAAAAAUGGUAAAAUAAAGACCUUAUUUUAAUGUUAAAAGUUCACUUCAACACCAUCAUUUCUACGAGGUUCUAGGUCUUUUGUGAACAAAUUAAAUAUAGUGCUUUCUUUAUAACAUGAAUUAAAUCUAGAUCCCAAUGAUAUUUGGCACCUUCUAAAUACCCAGAUGGCCACUGCGUUUGCCUUGAAGUGAAGACGUGUGUAGAGUUUUAAUCACAUGUUUUAUUUUUUCUCUUUUAAAUAUCGCCUUUUCAAUAGUUGCUUGUUAAUGAAUGACUGAUUGUUUACUGCAGUUUAUAAUCAGGAAUUUGAACAUUAAAAAAUUCUAAUCAGGAUACAGGUUAAAAAACACUUUCCCUCUCAUUCUCUCUUUCCUUAUGCUAGAACAAUAAAAAUAAAUUGUCCUCCCCUUGAAAACAUAGUAGUUUAAGAAAUUUUAUCAUUCUCUUCUUGAAAACUUAAGUUUAAUAAAACAGUUCAGAGGAAACUUAAUUAUAGUUCUUAUACUAUAAAAAGCUCUUAUAAAAACAGGGGUAGGGCCACAAUAAAUUUCACCUCUUGAGCAUAACCACCACUUGAAAAAGAAAGAUGUAGUUAAAAAAUUAUUUUUGCUUUAUCUUCUCCAUUGUUUAAUGCCUGAACAUACUUGGAUUUUUUAACAGCAGGAACAAGACAGAAGACUUUGUUAGCUACCCAGGUAAGAUCAUUUGAGUCCAAAGACCAGAUUCCAGAACAGACCACAGACUCCUGUUGAGGACAUGGGUUGUCAGGACAGCCUGGAGGCAGAGGGGUAGAUUCUGUUGUAGGUGUCGUAAGUGACAUUUUGGAUCAGAUUUUUAACCCUCUUUUGUUUUUGAAAGUGAGUAAAUAUUCAUAGCAGAUUAUUCUCAUGAAACAAGACUGACACUAUGACCUCAGGGAAAGAGUGCUUUGGGGGGAACUGCGUAUUUAAUUAAGCAAAGAAAGAGCUGAUGAAAGGGGCUGAGUGUCUCAGAGCUGUUGUUUCUUCUGCUGAAUUUUUCCAAAUAGGAGCACAGAAGUCCUGAGAACACUGCCUCUCUAUAUGUUGUGCUCGGUCCACACACUGCCAACAAAUGUGCAUACACACACACGCACACACCUCAAAGACAACCCCUCCAGCCUAUGGUUUUCCUGAAUUAGCUUUCCCAAAGUACCUUGAGCACUAUGGGUUCAGACUGGGGUUUGGGUUUGGUGAGAGCUGUCAGUGCUCCAAAGGCAGAGGACUGAACUUAGGGCAAAUCUGUGGCAACAGAAAGCUCUUUUCUGUUCCAUGAAAGUCAUGGAUGAUGCUUUCAGAUCCUGUCUGCAAAUUGCCCAACAUCGCAUUGAUAAUGGAAACAAAUGAUCUGACACUCACAUAGCUAAAUAUAAUUUAGAAUUUUGAUGUGAGGUUGAAACAUGAAAGAUCAUGCUUUUCAAACUGCUGUGAUGACUUACACAGACAAUUCAUUUUAGAUAAUGGUGAGUUAAGCCUGGCAGCCUCUGAGCGUUUUUCACUCAUUUGUUCAAACACCUGCAGUUGGGUACUGAUGCACAUGUUUAAUUGCUUAAACUUAAAUUAUAAAAUCCCUAAAAGGAUGUUUUUCUCCUAGAAAAUAAGUCAGGUCUCUUGCAAAGACUGCCUGCUUUCAUGAGCUUCUUGUAUUUCCCGGGAUGCUUAUGCACCAGCCCCUGUUAGAAAAGGUCUGCUUUUAAACACAGGAAGUUGAGCCCUUCAGGGAAAGUGCCGAUGUCUGAACCAUCAGCAAAAUCACUACACCCAUUCCCUGGGAAGUCUAGUUCAUCAGAAACAAGUUUAAUUCAGGAACUGUAGUUUAUCCAGGUUCCGUGAAGGCAAUUAGCACUGGGCAAAGGGCUGUUUGAUCAGCCUAGAGAGAGAUCGCCUUUACGCCUAAAGCUCCAGUCAUUUGUCUCUACUCCCGCCGACUCGCAGCGGCCACAGAAGACAUCAGAACUGGAUGAAAAUGGCCCUGCCCGUGCGACAGAGCAGGGCGCUUCUGGCUUGCGCCUUGUUAUUUGUCCCUCCAGUGGUUCCUAGCUGUUGUGACGUCAAGGCUGCCAUUCAGAGCAGAGAAAAAGGAAACCGUGGCCUCUCUUCGCAUCAGUAGCCCGGACAAGCUGUUGUUUCUCAGGCAUCCAAAGCGCUUUCUGUCUGGCAGAGCUGUGCAUUCCAUGCCUGGGUGACCUGGUUAAAUGGAGGAAACCAAAUGCUAUCCGCUGAAUGCUCUCCAAAACAAGCAUUCCGCCCUGCGCGUCUCAAGCACAGGCUUCACUGCCUCCGAGACUGUGAAGGGAACAGCAGCACUGCCUGCAUUUGCUGCUGGCAUAUUCAUCUUCUGGGCAGGGUCUUAAAGGAGAAAAUAACAUCCUCAGUGGCCUCGAUUAAUGCACACUCACCAACGUCUUUGUGCUGCCUUUGGGGUCAGUGCUACAAAAUCCUUUUUUAAAAAAGGAUUCGGAAUCACAGUCAGAAGUUCAAAACUGCUGAACUGCCACCUCUUCCUUCCUGUCUCACUUCGGCUCACGCCAUUCCCCAAUUUCAGGUUUCUGAAUUCCAGAAAGGCUCUUGUGUAUGUGAACAUAUUAAUCUUGCACCGUGCCUUACUGAACGUAUGUUUUGCACACACAUGAGAAAGACUCACAAGUAUAAUGCGUGGAUCACAACUCUAGGAUUUUCUCAAUGAAGAGUAACACCUUAUGCUUUUCAGAGAAAAGGGGCUAUUUCACAGUGUCACAGAACUCUCUUUAGGAGCAAGCCAAGAUCUCUGUAGCAAACAUCAAUCCUGCAAGGCCAAAAGCUCACUAAUAAAGUUCUGAUCACUUAGAGUGACUGCCUAAGAAUUGACCAACUUCAGACUAAAUUUUCUGAGGACAUACCUUCUUGGGUUUCUUUCUGGCAUGAGAGACUAUUAGAUUAGAUUCUUGGAUUCAAUUAUAGUCACCAGAAAAAGCAAGGUUAUAACCACCACACUUUGUGUUCCAGAGUUGUCUUAGUUAACUCAGUAUUCAUUUGAGGUUUUAUGUUACAAAUCCCAUUAAAUCUUUCUCAAAAUAGCCCUUCUCUGAACAUUUGAUGGAAGAAUAUUUGCAGGAACCAAAACCAUUUGAUAUAUACACCAGUAUAUGUCAGGAAGGAUCGUGAUACAGGGGUGCCUUUUAAAAGUGGGUUAUUAUACGACAGAAUUCUUCCAGGUCCCUGACUCUUGUCUUCUGAAAAAAAAAAGUGGAGAUCUUCAGAGGACUGGAUAAAGACAGAAUGGAUGGGGUGAAUUAUGUAAAGUUAGGAUUUAGACUGAGGGUUUACAGGGCUGCAGUCUCGUUUUGCCUCAACAGUCAGACUUGCCCAGGGUCUGGCCUAAUACCAUACAAAUGUCAUAUCCACACUGGCAUUGAUACAGUGGUGGGAAUGAGGCAUGGGGGUGAUGAGCAUAGCUUCUUGCUGAGUGCUCUGGUCUGGGUGAGCCUGAGAUCUUGAGAUAAAAACUAGGACAUUAUUUCCAUCAUGGGCUGAAGAAUUAGUUCUGCUACUUGCAUAUCAGUUAAUCGUUUUCUUCUGUUUUUUUUUUUUUUUUUUUUUUUUGCUAUUACUACCAUUUCAGGAGGUACUUGUUAUCUGAAGAUAACUGAUACAGGACCACUACUGCUGUUUUAAGAGGACUGAUUUAAAACUGAAUCAAACAUUUAAAAACAAACAGUCACUUUUUUUUUUAAAGAUCUUAUUGGGACUAAGUCCUGAAAAAAAUAAAACUAAAGUUGAAUUUAGUUCGUUUUAUAUAAUAGAAAUUUGGGAUAUGAUGCAACAGCAUGUUAUUUCUUAGAAGAAAGAUUGAAUGUUGACUUCUAAAGCAGAAUCAUAUAAAGAAGAUGAUUUUUGUACAAGCAUUCGAAUUUCCCCGAAGGCCUCUCUUAAUCUUUUGAUAUAUAAACCAUUCUCUUGAAGAGUCUACCUCUCAUGUAAUCACCUCUGUUGACUUUCUCUUCAAUUGUUAACUGUUGAAACUGUCUUUCGUCUUGUCAGUGACCCUAUGUGACUCAUGCAGUUUGCUGGUAUCAUUUUUAUCAACUGUGUGAAAAUCUGCAAUUCCACCUUACAAGUGAGCUACAUUGGAUUUUCAUUUUAUUCUAUGACAUUAUUCAACCAAGAAAGUGAGCAAGAAUAGAUGCUGAUGUUAAUGAGGACUAAUAAUAAGUGAUCACUGUGUUUGUCAAUAUUUUUAUAUGAUGAUGACCUUUGCUUCCUUAUGCAACUUGAUAACUACAGGGAUUCAGAUAAUGAUUACUCGAGUAAUGAAUCCCCACCCCCUGCCAAAUAUUAUGUUGUAUUUAAAGUACUCAGUAUGGUUUAGUGGGCUUUAUAAUCAACCACAUGUAGAUUUGGAAGCCACCCCUGACACUUCACUGAGUUCUAUAACCUUGAAUGUGCUAUUCACAGAACCUAAGAUUCUUGAUCUUUUAUAUAGAGUAACAAAACCAACCUUGCAUCAUGGUCAUGAGGGUUAGAACCCAUACGUAUAAAACCCUGAGUAAUACGCUGUGCACGAGUUUAAGAAAUAGUCCUGUCCUCAAUAGCGCUGUGAUUGCUUUUGUGUGGUACCUUACAUUUUAUAUGAGACUUUUACACUUAUUUUAAUUCUUUAUAUAAGCCCAGAAGCUAGAGAACUUAAGUUUUACCCUCUAGACAUUGCAAAGUCACAGAAAAUGUUUGAGGAAUGCAGCGACAUGAAUUUUACUAUGUUUUAGAAGACCGCAGUGGGUGACUCUGUAUGCUCUGCAUCAGCUAAUACCAUUUGAUAGCCAUUUUUUUCAUGGCAUAGGUGAGAACACUAAGGCCCAAGGAUAUGAUGUACUUUCUUGGCAUCACAUGGUUUGGUUCUGGCACAGCCAAGCCUAGAACCCAGCCUUCCUACUGCCUGCUGUGUUUCUUCACCACCCAGUUGCUCCUUGGCAAGUGAACCAAUUACAAAGGCUGUCUUACUUGUCCAAGGACAGAGAGAAAGGUGCAUCCUGGGUGACUGGAAAUGGGAGUGGGAGGGAGAGGAUGGAGGCAGCAGACAUUGAAAAUAAGUAUUGACUAGACUUGGUGACAGAAUGGCUCAGCUCAGCUCAGUGAAGAAGGGAGUCCAGAGGCCAAACUUUCAACCCUGGUGGGAUGGCUAUACAGUUAAGUAAAGUAAAAUCAGUAGAAUGGUGUUGGUUUUUUUGCUUCAUGAUGAAUUUAAAGGGACUGCCUUAUCCAGAUAGAAAUAUGUUAAAGAUAUAGGUAGGAGAGGUAGCUACCAUUAAAGAUACAGAUUUGAGAUUAAUGCCACAGAAGGAGAGCUGAAACCACUGUACUACAUAUAACCGUGUGUGUGUGUGUGUGUGUGUGUGUGUGUGUGUGUGGCAAAUGUGCGCACGCGCACUUGUGUUAAACUGGAUUUGUUGGCGUAUCUCCAAUUCAAACCUGGGUCAGGUGAUUAUGUUGUAACUUACUGCCCAGUUACAAUCACAAACUGUUACACCUUCAUCAGAAGGAAGAGCGAGUUCCCUAGAUCAGUGUGUUUGUGUGUUUGUUUUGUUGGAUGGAUCCUGCCGAGGCACUGAGAGACAGACUUUGCUGGGCCCUGUUUUGUAAACAAAUCUGUUCACGCACGCUUUCUUCUAUCAUUGGAUGUGUACACUGGCUCUGAUUUUCCCACCCGACACGCCAAAGCCUAAGCAUUUAGAAGCUUGUUUUCUUUUAGAAGUAGGCAGGCACCAAAGAAAAACCUGCACAUGCAUUUAAAGUAUGCACAUCUACCCUAAGUCAGUCUUUGGAUCUUUACGAUUUUAACUCUGGGCCAUGUGCAGUGUAUUUCAGCCCACUACACACGGCAGACCUGCGAGACGUCCUGACAGCCCCCACAAAACUAUGGACUGAGCUUAGUGCAAAAGAGAAAGCCCUUCUUACCCUUAAAGUUCAUUGCACGGGCCAUUGUGGGAUUAGUCACCCCAGAUGAUAAAACAUAAUACUGGUUUUCCUACGUAGGGGUGAUUCAGCUUUCUCUUAGAUUGGAAUAUGAACUUAAUGUAUAUAAUACAUACAGUCACUUCCUGAACUUGUAGUUUUUUGCAUGUUUUAUUUAAUAUUCUAGCCAGGUUUAAGUUUUUAUGGCAGGAAGUAUGUGAAUGGUUAUGACAGGAGUAAAUAACAUUUGAUUUUAUGAUUACAGUACAGGAAGUAACUUUUCACACCAAAUAAAUCUUUGGGAAAAAAGUGCUGGCUUAUAAAUUUAACGUACAUAAAUUUUCCAGAAUCUUGCAUACAGUCGUCUGUGCUCUCUUAAAUGGAACUAAAUACCUGGCUGCUCUCCUUUUUUCUUUUAACUUUUUUUUGUCAACGAAUGUCUUUGUUUUAGAAAGAGGCAUUUUCAAGUGUUUUGAUGUGACCCAACGUGACCUAAAACCAUUAAAAGAUUCUAAGCAAAAAUAAUAAGGCCAAACUUUAGUGUAAAUAGCAUGAAAGGCUUGAAAACUAAAUAAAAAAUUAUUUUUUCCUUUAAGAGUAAAUAGCUAGGCUAGGCAUGGUAGUUCAUACCUGUGAACCUGUGAACCAUUGCCUUGGGGGGCUUAGGUGAAAGGAUUGCUUGAGCCCAGAAGUUCAAGACGAGCCUGGGCAACAUAGCAAGACCCCUUCUCUAUUAAAAAAAAAAAAUAGCCAGAUGUGGCACACACCUGUAGUCCCAACUACUCAAGAAACUGGGGCAGGAGGAUCACUUGAGCCCAGGAGUUUGAGGCUGCAGUGAGCUAUGAUCAUGCCACUGUACGCCAGCCUGGGCAACAGAGCGGGGGCUCUGUCUUAAAUGACCAAAUCAUUUUUCAUCAUUAAAGCCCGGGAAGCCUCCAAACUGCCACCGAGGCAAGUUCCUUCCAGUGACUCCGCCAUGAUCUGCAGGCACUUGGGAGGAACAGCCUGUUAACAUCAGAGAGGCUGUUGCAUGUGACCAAGUUUACAGAGAAGAGGAAAGAAUUGGAUAGAACUUCAGUUACAUUUCAUCGUAAGCAGAGCUUUAACAGAGGCUUUGUUUUUCCUUGAAUAAAAAAAUGAAUAGCGGGAAUAAAAGAUUUAGAAAAGAUUUCUUUCUUCACCCUUUUCAUCUUAAAGUCUAAAGAUGUUGUAAUGAGAAAAAUAUUGUGACAUUCCUUUCUGAAGGUUACUAUUACACACACGUGAAUUAUGUGAACGAAUGGAUGGAUGCCUGGCAGAUUAAAAUGUAGAGUUCCAGAUGCAUUCAUAACCACCAUGUGGCUAUGACACAGUGGCACAUCAUCGGGCUGGGAGUGAAAGGAUGAAGGUUCAGACUUCAGCCCUGUGUCUGGGAGCCUCACCCAACCACCCUGACGGAAAACAGGAUCUCUGAAUCCCUUCUACCUCUACAACUCAGUACCACACAUUGUGCAACUUAAGUAACUUGCAAGUGAGGUGAAACUGUUUUCACAGGAUCAGCAGAGUUACCACUGCUUCGUUGUCCUGAAUCUUCAUUACAUUUUUACAGAGAAUAUAUUUGCAUGUGACAUGAUUAAAAAUCUACCUUGUGUUUUCAUGGUCUUUGUAGGUUUUAAGGUAGUUUCUUAUAUGCUGUUUUCCUUGCUGUGCAGCCAACCUGGGUGUUACUGGCAGACAUGCUGAGGGCAGGCUCUGGAUGUGGAGUCAAGGUCAGGCUCCCUGGCUCUGAAUCCUGGCUCAACCACCUACUGAUUGUGUAACCCUGGGCAUGUCCUUGAGUACCCUGGGCCUCAGUUUCCUUAUCUGUAGGAUGAGGAUUAAAAAUAGAACUUACCUCCAGGGCUGCUGUGAAGAUUAAACGAAUGGACGGAUGUGUAGCUCGUGGUAGCGCCUGAGCUGGCCCUGCAUAUCAGUGUGCUGUUCUCGCUGAUGAUGAAACUGGCUUAGCGAGGUUGGGUGAUAUGCACAAGAGCAAAUUAGCAAAAAAGAUGAGCCAGAACUCAAACACGGCCUUAGGACUUCUCAGUGGCUGGUGCCCUUCCGUUGUGAGACCACUCUCUCUCCUGCCUAUAAAAGUGCCACGAAAGAGUGCGCUCCAUUUCAUUGUUUAAAAGAGAACUGAGUAAAUGUUAAACAUGAAGGACGUUUGUCAUGGGGUUUUACUUUGUUUGGAGAGGGUGGAUUCUCUAACUCUUGAAUGGUGUCCACAGCAUAGCAAGGACCUGGACAGCCUCCAUGGUUUCAUCACAUUCUUAACAUCCAGCCUUAGAAAUAGCUCCCUUUAGGUCCCCAAAUUAACAGGAGUUUCUAAAGGAUAGCAGCUUUUUUGCAACUGCUGCAUCUGUUAGAUUCAUGUUCUCUUUGCUCCCCUCUCCCCAAGCUUCUAUUUCAUGAUCUUUUUGUUGUUUUGUUCUACUUUCCUCUUUUUAAAACCUCUGCAUUGGCCACCCAGGAUUUAAGAGGAACUUUUCUGGAAAGCUGUCUGAAACAGGAACAAAUUACACAGAAACACUGAGAGCUGUGCACUUGUGUGUAUACCUGACAUAGUGGGAGAGGGGGGCUUCCUUCUAAGUAAUAGAGAAGAGUGAAUAUUCUAAUCAUUGAGUAGUGGUCAGGCCUGUAAUCACUGCUUUUUCUUUUGCUGAGCUCGGUAUCAACGGACAAGCUCAAAAAUUGUAGCUAUUUAAAAUUACUCUCCAUGUAAAGGGUUCUUGUUCCUUUGAUCCUAUCACAGACUAUUCCUUUUUUUCUAUUGAGGAGGUUCAUAAGAUCUCGUGGGCAAGGGCUGAGGAGAUGACUAUUGUGUAGUGUAGUUGUUUUAAAUUAAAAAUUUACCUCUAGUUAUAGGUGCUACUUUUUACUCACCCUCAAUUUGGAGAUUACAUCAUGCAGGCUGCGCACAGUGGUUCAUGCCUGUAACCCCAGUGCUUUAGGAGGCCAAGGCGGGAGAAUUGCUAAAGGCCAGGAGUUAGAGACCACCCUGGGCAACAUAGCAAGGCGUCAUCUCUACCAAAAAAAAAAAAAAUUAUCUGGGCAUGGUGGUACUUACCUGUAGUUUCAGCUACUCUGGAGGCUGAGAUGAAGUGAUACCCUGCCUCUAAAAUCAAUCAAUCAAUCAAUUAUGUGUAUCAGGCAAAUGAUUUCCAUACUCUUCUUGUUAAAAUAUCAGUUUGGUAAAGAUGGUAAAAGCUUAUCACAUCCCAGGAAGUCGAGGCUUCCGUGAGCCAGGAUCGCACCACUGCACUCCAGCCUGGGUGACAAGAGUGAGACCCCGUCUCAAAAAAAAAAAAAAAAAAAAAGUGAAAAUUCCCUUCCAGAAUUUCACAUCCAAAAAUGCGAAAUAAAAGAGUUGGGGUCUAAGUGGCAAAGUGCUGCCGUGUUUCAAGUUAAGGGCUUCCAUGGAUUGUGUGAAAAAUACAGGUGUGAAUUUGGGUGAUUUGUUUUAUUCUUCAGUCCCCAUUAAGUAGAAGCUUGUAUUUUCCUCCUUCCCCCUUCAAGAGCCCCCCUCCCCACCAUGCAGGCACAUGGAGGCCCCAAGUUGGAAGCACAUUCACAGCCUGAAGCUGAAGGACAGGCUCUGAAAAAUCUUUCUUUCAGCAAAACGUCUACUAAUCUCAGAAAGUGAGCUUUGUCACCAUUGAUACUCUGUAAGGUGGGAUGAAAGCAAGUUUUCUUACUCAUUUUGCCCAGUUGUCAAGAAAUGCUGCUCUUCUCUCUAACAUAAAUUAACAGGUUUGGCUACAGCCUAGAGAAAUACAAAAUGUCACAUUUUAGCCUUAGUGGCCGGUUUUCAAAGGGUGCCUGAGUGUGAACACCAUGUCGGCUGCUCUGUUAAUGUGGCUGGAUCUCAUAAAUAGGUAUUUUUCUACCCCUGUGAUGGACAAAUCUGAAAAAGUUUUUUCAUCUUACAAGCCCAGAGGAUGGUAUUUAGAGGCUGAUUUUUGGUAUCUCAGUUCCUGGUAGGGAAGAUGAAUUCCGUAUUUGAAAUUUGGGGCCAAACAAAAAUAAUUCUUUCUCUUUCCUUGAAGGGUUAAUGCUCCAACCAGCCUCAGAUUGGUUCGCUUGAAUCUUAAAAUUACUUUUCUGGUCACGCGCACUGAAGGUCUAAGCAUUUGUGAAAUGUCUUUUUUUUUUUUUUUUUUUCCUCUUGAUGCUGUUCUCUUUGGGCUGUCUUAAUUACACAGGGGUUGAGAAACCAAAUUAAAAUUAGGCGUGUCUGGUCAACAGUGAUCACGUUGCAUGCUUUUAGCUUUGCUUGUUGAAGUUGCUUCUCCUCCCUGAGUGGCUUUCCUCCCCACAAUUUUUUUUUUUUUUUUGAAGGAAAUAUCAUAAGCUCUUUCAGAAAUACUCACAGGAAGUGAGAGUCCGUAUGCUGGUUACUCACCAGCAACUGAGUGUUGGCAGGUGGAGAAUGCUACCGCAGCCCGCCCAGACGGAUCUGCAGACUGGCCCCAUCGCAGAGGAUUAGACACAGGGUGCAUGGAUCAUAGGGUUUUUGAACAGAAGGGAGUUUUAAGAGGAAAUUGGUCACUGCGUGUCAUCUCGAGGGGUGGUGAUUCAGGGAGCAGGGCUGGGGGUCAGAAGGCACGUGGCUGCCAUCUCAGAGGUUCCUGCUCACUUCUCAGAGGGCAGGCUGGCUUCUAAAAAUCAACGCUCCCUCCACCCCCAAACAGCGAUUCUUCUGCAGUGAAUCACUUCCAGAAAUGAAUAGCCACAGUUUUUUGGAAUGAACGUUGUGAAAUCCCUCCUUUAUAAUGGCAGGUUUUCAGUUGGUGGUUUUAUCAGAAUUUCUCAAGAUCAAAACGAAACCUUCUCUUUAAAAAGGAAAGAAAGUACUAUCGAUACAGAAAGCAAAAGUAUUUCCAGUCUCCUACUGAACUGUCACGGCAGACCUCUCUGUAUCUAUAUUUAGAGCUGUAUGUCCAUAUAUUUGCCUGAAUGUGUGAGUUCUUGGAAGUAUGGAUUCAUUGCCAGGAGCUGGUGAUUUCCUAAGCAGAGGUCGCUAACUACAAGAAAUGUUACACUCGGAAUUAGGAAAACAACCUAGUGUGGUUUUUAUUGUUAGUCCUGGAGGAUUCCAAAAUCUGUGUGCCUGCAAAUAAGAUGAGCUGGGGAAAGGGAGCACCGGCAUUUGGUGUUUCUACUUGCCUCUUUUCCUGAUGGAAUCCAGUCCUCUGCUUCCAGGACAAGUCCUGCGCUUGGGGAUCCUCUGUACGCCCGUUCACUGGUUCCAGCUCAUGUCUCAGGAGGCCACUGAGCCCACUCCUCCGCCCCAGCCUGUGUCUGCGCACGGCUCUUCUCCCUUCCUCCUGGUUUCGUCUGGCUGAUACCUGCUCACCUGAAAGUCAUCUCAGGUGCCACCUCCUCCAGGGAUUCCUCGCAUUAGAUUAGCUUCCUUCUUCCCCAUUCCUAGCUGACUUCCUUCAUUAUGCCUCAGAUCCUUUUUUUGGAAGAAAAAGAAAGAAAUGGAAGACAGACUGGCCAGCAGGGGGCGAGAGAGGGAGGGAGGGCAUAUCAGAGAAUUCAACAUGCUGCGUUUUAACCAGAUACUUUUCUUCCUCUCCCACAAGGCAUCACAGUAGAGACUGCCUUUCAUCUCUCUCUCCCUUGUGUAAUAGCACAGUGUCUGGCAGAUAACUGUUGCUUGCUAAUUAUUAGAAGGAAGAAAGGGAGGGAGAAUAAAAGCCAUCAUCACCAUGUGAUCUUCCUAAGUGCGACGGAUGUCAGAAAAGAACUACCUUAAGCUCAAGGGGCCCUAGAGGAACGGCGCUGCGUGCUAGUGCAGAUGGUAGCAAACGCUCUCACCUGGCUUGGCAACACUUCUUCACCUCUUCUUUCUACCACCACAGCGACUAUCUCCCUCCAGCCCAUCCUACUGCCAAAUUCAUCUUUUAUUAAGCAUAGCUUCAAUCACAUCAUUUCUUUAUCAAAACACUUCUACAGAGGAGUUCCAAAUGCUUUAGCCGGGCCGUCCAGGGCCUCCACAGGAUGACCCCAGCCCACCUAGUUUUCUACCACUCUUUAUGUGUUUCCUAAGUACCAUUCAUUAUUUUAGGACUUGGUAUUUGCUGAUGAAUUUACUUACUUACUUGAGAGUGUGGCAAAAGCACAUCCUAAACUUUCAGUUAAAAGGAGUCUGAUUGACCUGCUCUGAGUUUAAGGCACGUGCUGGUCACUGUGGGAGCCAUUAAAGAAGGUAUCGUUCUGUGGCCACCAGGAACAGAUAGCCCAGCUGGGCACAAGACAAAAAAGCAGGGGGCGUUAAGGAACAGACAGCAGAAAGGAACAUGUCACAAGUGCGCAAUUAAUCGCCAAAUAUAUGGCUCAAGAAGGGGUGGUGAUGAAACCAGAUAAUGUCUGUGAAAGUGCCUCUCUCCUGUCAAACUCCCAAUUCCAAGUAGUCCUACAGUCGGCCCCUUCCACAGGGCGUAGCCCUGUCAUUCCACCUCAAACGUCGUACACACUCGGCCUGUCCUGCAAAGCCCUUCGUGAUAAGGCCUGCUUCUCCUCCCCACCUUGUGGGACCCCCAACCCUGGAACCCCGAGCUGCAGAGCUGGAGAGAAUGCACUCUGUUGUUUGGUAUACGUGUUCCUUGAAACAUUCACUCCUCCCCAUUUUCCUUCGGUGUCUAACCUGUUCUUCCUUUAAAAUUCGGCUUUUCCUUUAAAAUCCAGCCUGGAGCUCCCCAAUGAAGACUUCUGUGGUGCUGCAGGCAAAACUCACCACCUGCAGAGUCUCUGCUCUCCCUUGUCAAAUACGCGUUUGUGACAUACACUGGAAGGCAUCGGGCACAUUUCUGUCGUCUGUGUGACUGUGGACCUCUGCCGCAGGGGUCAUGUCCUUUCCCUUUACAGUGCCUGAUGAGGUACACGUCUUGUCAAUGUUUGUCACGGACUGAAACUUAACACAUUAGAGAGGACAGCAAAGUCAGUUGACUCUAAAUUGUUAAGGCACAAGCUCUGUGAGUUCAGAAGAGACAUGUGCCAGAAUCGGUCCAGGGAGGUUCUUAGAACCUACCAGUUCUAAGUAGGAAUUCUUAGAACUGGAAGGUCAAAGCUUUGUACAUGUGAAAUAGAUCAAACAAUAAAAAGAAUUCCAUGUGGAAUAG